rnacentral:rRNA from 1 species
UGCCCCAGUAACGGCGAGUGAAGCGGCAACAGCUCAAAUUUGAAAUCUGGCUCCCCCCUGGGGGGCCCGAGUUGUAAUUUGGAGAGGAUGCUUUGGGCGCGGCGCCUUCCGAGUUCCUUGGAACAGGACGCCAGAGAGGGUGAGAGCCCCGUACGGUCGGACGCCUAGCCCGUGUAAAGCUCCUUCGACGAGUCGAGUAGUUUGGGAAUGCUGCUCAAAAUGGGAGGUAAAUUUCUUCUAAAGCUAAAUACCGGCCAGAGACCGAUAGCGCACAAGUAGAGUGAUCGAAAGAUGAAAAGCACUUUGAAAAGAGGGUUAAACAGCACGUGAAAUUGUUGAAAGGGAAGCGCCUGUGGCCAGACGUGCGCCCCGCGGACCACCCGUCGCUCUGCGGCGGGGCACGCCGCGGCGGCGCAGGCCAGCAUCGGCUCUCCCAGGGGGACAAAGGUCGCGGGAACGUAGCUCCUUCGGGAGUGUUAUAGCCCGCGGCGCCAUGCCUCUGGGGGGGCCGAGGACCGCGCCUUCGGGCAAGGAUGCUGGCGUAAUGGCCACCAGCGACCCGUCUUGAAACACGGACCAAGGAGUCAAGCAUUGGGGCGAGUGUUUGGGUGACAAACCCGCACGCGAAAUGAAAGUGAACGCAGGUGGGAGCCUUCGGGCGCACCACCGACCGAUCCUGAUGUUUUCGGAUGGAUUUGAGUAGGAGCCUUGCCGCU